rnacentral:rRNA from 1 species
AUGAACGCUGGCGGCGUGCCUAAUACCUGCAAGUCGAGCGCACGGACGAGAAGCUUGCUUCUCUGAUGUUAGCGGCGGACGGGUGAGUAACACGUGGAUAACCUACCUAUAAGACUGGGAUAACUUCGGGAAACCGGAGCUAAUACCGGAUAAUAUUUUGAACCGCAUGGUUCAAAAGUGAAAGACGGUCUUGCUGUCACUUAUAGAUGGAUCCGCGCUGCAUUAGCUAGUUGGUAAGGUAACGGCUUACCAAGGCAACGAUGCAUAGCCGACCUGAGAGGGUGAUCGGCCACACUGGAACUGAGACACGGUCCAGACUCCUACGGGAGGCAGCAGUAGGGAAUCUUCCGCAAUGGGCGAAAGCCUGACGGAGCAACGCCACGUGAGUGAUGAAGGUCUUCGGAUCGUAAAACUCUGUUAUUAGGGAAGAACAUAUGUGUAAGUAACUGUGCACAUCUUGACGGUACCUAAUCAGAAAGCCACGGCUAACUACGUG